AUGGGUUCAUCUGGAAUGGGAGUUGAUGCGAAUGGAAAGCCAAUCAAGAGACAGCCUACAACUAAUAAUAACAACAAGAAAGCUGGAAACAACAGCAACAACCAGAAAAAAGGAAAUAAUCAAAACAACAAAAAUAAUAAGAACCAGAAUGGAGGAAAUCGCAACCAAAAUCGCCAACAUCACCAGCCUCCAAUGAUGCAAAUGGUUCCACCCUUCGGCCCAAUGGGACCAGGAGGACCAGGAGGACCAGGAUUCAUGGGCCCACCGAAUGGAAACAUGAACUUCUUCAACGGACAAAAUCGUCGUAAUGGCAGUGGAAAGGUAUUUUUGAGGAAAAUCCUUGUUUCUCCUGUUCUUCGCAAUGUCUUGGACGCUUUAUAUCAGUUUCUUCAAAUCUUGAGCCAGCCCACCGGAUUCUCUAAGUUAGACCUAAAUAUAUAGCGAUCAAAAUGAUCAGAUAAGUUACCAGAAGAUGAUUAAAAAUAAAAUUUGAUUAUAUUACUAUUGGGCGAUAUUUCUGCUGAAUUCAGAAAUUUAAUAAUUUUUCACAACAUUUUGACGAAUUCGUCCAUUUCUGGUCGCAGUAAAGAGUCUUGCUUUGACAUAGGACUUCAAGAUUCUUUCCGACGUACAGGUUUUCUUGAUUAGGGCUUUAAAGAAAUGUUUUAGAGAAUGGAGAAGAAUCGUAAAUGACGGUGGUGACUGGCUCAAUGAAUUCUUAAUUCGUGUUGCUCAAUAAGAGUAAAAAUGCUCUCGGAUCUUUUGAUCCUUUUUAUACCACAUUCUUCAGGCAUAUCGGUUUCUUGGCUCUAAUCAUCAAAUGAAAAAAAAACAGUUCUCCAUUUUUGUUAAUUUCAGAUGUAUUAAUUCAAAAAAUUUACUUUUCAAUUUCCAAAAAGAGCAAGUGCUCGAUGUUUUCUUUCAAAUUUUUUUGUUAUAUUGUUAAAUUGAAAAGAAAAACAAAAUUUGCAUUCACCGUAAAGUGAAACUUUUUUUUUGCGAUUUAAAAUAUUACUAGUUAGAUUCACCAUAUAUUUCGGAAGAGUCUCUAGUUCCAAAAUCCAUGAGUAGUAAAUGACGGUCUCUGUCUCCGUUGUAUGAUACAACUCCUCACUCGAUGUAUGUAAUGAACAAGAAGUUUGCAGAACAACGGCAAUAGAAAUGGAGCCCCACCUUCAGGUCUAGUUAUGUUUUCAUAAUGAAACGAGUGUCAUUUAUUUUCUUUUGAUUGUUUUCUAUCAGAGAUUCAAAUAAUCUCCGUAAAAAAUUACUGUUGUUAAAAGGGGACACUCUGACAUCUCAAAAGAUAUUUCGAACUUCAAAAAAAGGCUCUAGACCGCGUGGCUAAAAAUAUUUUUAGGAAAAUAAAAAAUGAAGUAUAAAAAUUGAGGAGAUACUAAAUUUUGUUCCUAACACAAUUCCCAAAAGAAACUUCGAUAUUUCCAUCGAAUUCUUUUUAAAUAAAUAGUCCAUCGAGACUUAAAGUUUAUUUUUAAAAAAUUUGAAAAUCAAAGAUGAUUGUCGCAGUAGUGUCCCCAAACAACAUUUACUUUCGAGUCUAAAAUUCAAAUCCUUGUAGUUUUUUAGUUUUAUUAGUAGAUCUGCUCUCUUACCAAUGAGAGCCAAUAUGUAUUUUCUCUUUUCAACAAUAUUAUUUUCAGGAUACAAUGGACCAUCGGCUAACAAUGUGGGACAAGGAGCUAUUGGAAAUAACAUGAACGGCGCUCAACCAUUUGCUGGACCAGAACCAUCAAUGGAAGUUCCUGGAUUCGGAAAGAACAGCAACAUUCAUGAACUUUUCGGAAAGAUGAUCUGGAGAAAAAUGGAACAGAUCAAUGACGCCGCUCUUGUCGAUCAACUCCAGAAUCGGAUAAUGAACCUGAUCCAUGAUGCCCUGGCUAGUCAGAACGAUAAGCAACAACAACAACAACAGCAGCAACAUCAACAAGGAUUCAAUCAACAAAGAGGAAUGCCGUUCGGAGGACCAGGAAACCAAAAUGGACCAUUCGGAAACAACGCUGGAUUCCAACGUUUUUAA